rnacentral:rRNA from 1 species
AAAAAUAAACAAAAUUCCCACCGACGGAUGUCUAGGUUCUCGCAACGAUGAAGAACGCAGCAAGGCGCGAAAGGCCAUGUAUUUCGCCACGAUUCAUGGAUGUUUGAAUGCAACCGGCGUCUCCUUAUCCCAGGAGACAUGCUUGUUUCAGUGCACCUUACUAACUACAAACCAUAAUGCUGGGGAAAGCUCCCCGGUCAAGUGCGGCACACCCUGGGCCGAGCUAUAUCGUUAGACUGCCCGUGGGCCUGCGACUCACCCACAUAAACAUGCCUGAAACAAACAAGUCUACCCGCUGAACUUAAGCGUAUCACUAAGCGGAGGAAAAGAAACUAACUAAGAUUGCCUCAGUAUCGGCGAGUGAAGAGGCAAAAGCCCAAGGGAGAAUCGUGUGUCACAGCGACACAAGAAUUGUCCCCUCAGCCGGCCGAUUGCUGCCCGACGGAUGGCAAAUGUUCUGAAAUGGACAACCAAAGAGGGUUUAAAGUCCCGUAGCUGUCUCGAAGGCUAGCCAGACGCCAGGCCAGAGUAAGGCUGUCUGGUAACGCAGCCCGAACAGGAGGUAUCCACCUUCUAAGGCUAAAUAUGUGCGAGAAACCGAUAGCAAACUAGUACUGCGAAGGAAAGACCAACACUCUGAAAAGAGGGUUAAUAUUGAAAUCGAUGGGGAGGAAGCGGUGCUUCAUUCGAAUGAGUCGGAGCCCAAAAGGCCGCUCGCGUAAACAUUCCGGUGGAACUCCUAAGGAAUGCGUCGACGCAGACGACCCGUAACCGGCUAAGACGGUAGCGAGAUGAAAUGGAACUGGGAGAGUAGCUUGUCUGCACACGUCUACGAUGUGGGCGACUAUGUGAAUCCUGGUCCCGUUUGAGGGCGCUAUUGCGAUCUCGCGAAUCGGAGAAGCACCGACCCGUCUCGAAACACGGACCAAGGAGUCUAGCAUAUGUGCGAGUGGCACAGUGUCAAACUGUAUCGCGAAAUUAACGUGAAAAAUGCCAAACGCAAGUCGCAGCAUUGGCCGACUCAGCUCGCUUUAGAGCUGGGAAUGCGCAGGAGCACAUCUGCUAGGACCAGAUAGUUGGUGAACUAUGCCUGGAUAGGGUGAAGUCCUCUCAACGGGGGAUGGAGGCUCGUAGCGAUACUGACGUGCAAAUCGUUCGUCAAAUCUGGGCAUAGGGGCGAAAGACCAAUCGAACCAACUAGUAGCUGGUUCCCUCCGAAAUUUCCCUUAGGAAAGCGGGGAUCAUUACAGUUCUGUGAUGUAGAUAUGUCAACUAGGUGCGUGCGUCCUCAGGACGUAUGCCCUCCUAGACAAACAAAGUCGCAGAUGGCGUAGUUCUCUUAACUGAACGCGCCUGUAAAUGCAGGUCCUUAGUUUGCCACCGUGGUAAGCACGAACGGCGAUGAGGGAUGAACCUAACGUCUGGUUAAGGCGCCAAAGUAGCCGCUAAUAGAUUCCAAGAAGGUGUGGGCCGGCAUUGACAGCAGGAAGGUGGCCUUAGAAGUCGGCAUCCUUUAAAGAGUGUGUAACAACUCACCUGCAGAGCCGGGCCGCCCCGAAAAUUGAUGGCGCUAAGCGGUUCGCCGAUACCAGACCGUCCACGCAAAUAUAGGCGUGAACGUGUAGGAGGGCGUGGCCGUCGCGGAGAUGCUCUCACGUGAGUGGGAACGGAACGGCGGCUAGUGCAGAUCUUGGUGGUAGUAGCAAUUAUUCGAAUGUGACCUUCGAAGGCCGAAGUGGAGAUGGUUUCCGCAGCACUGACAAUCAGCUGUGGGUUACUCGGUCCUAAGGCCAAUGGUAACUCUUACUAUCGCUUGACAGCGUUGGCCGAAAGGGAAUGAGGUUAAUAUUCCUCAAGCGUUCCUCGAUAUGAUUGGCAACACUUGUCCUUCCAAAACGCCAAUGCGUACCUCUAGAAGAGCUAUCGUCUCUUUUUAACAGUUAUCGGGCCGCGGAAUGAUUUGCUCAUAGAAACGGCGCGCCGACUGGAAUAGCGUCCUGCUCGGGACGUUAGAAGUGCCCGCAGUGGACCAUGAAAAUUGAAGGGACUUGCACGUCGCGGAACGUCCGUACCUAAUCCGCAACAGGUCUCCUAGGUGAGUAGCCUCUGGCCAAUAGAAUAAAGUAGGUAAGGGAAAUCGGCAAAAUAGAUCCGUAACUUCGGGAGAAGGAUUGGCUCUGACGAUUGGACAGCCUCUCCACGGGUCAUACCGCGGAAACUGCAUAAUCAAUCGCUAAUGAGCUGGAGCUAACAAGGGGAAUCCGACUGUUUAAUAAAAACACAGCAUUGUGAAGGCCGGAAACGGUGAUGACACAAUGUGAUUUCUGCCCAGUGCUUUGAAUGCGACCAGGACGAGAGUCCUCGAAGCGCAGGUUAACGGCGGGAGUAGCUAUGACUUCCUUAAGGUACCCAAGCUGUCAUUUAAAUGAUGAUGGCAUGAAGGGAUUAACGAGAUUCCCACUGUCCCUAUCUACUAUCUAGCGAAACCACGACCAAGUGCAAGGGCUUGGCAAAAUCAGCGGGGAUAUUCGAUCCUGUUGAGCUUGACUUUAGCCUGAUUCUGGAUGGUCCUAGCCCCCGACGUAACGAGGCGGGAGCGAAAGCGCAAGUGAAAGACCGCUUCAGGGGCAUGGACCUCCUCACUCCGUCAGUAAGCAACCUAUAUGGCAUUCCUCUGUAACAGAGGAGCUUAGCGGAAGACACAAUCAGGUGGGGAGUUUGACCGGGGUGGUACAUCUGCGAAAAUUAAGCAGUUGUCCUAAGGUGGGCUCACGGAGGACAGGAACCUCCGGUAGACUAAAGAAGGGGAAAAGCCCGCUUUACUCACACUUCCAGUAAGAGUGAGAGUUGCGAAAGCAAGGCCUAACGAUCAUUAACGAUUCAAUGGAUGAAUCUUAAUGUGUCAGAAAAGUUUCCACAGGAAUAAUGGUCUAUGGCAGGCCUAUUCUAAAGGCACCUGCCGCUUGACGCAUGAUAACGGCUCUUCCUAGCGUAGAGGUCAAGGAAUCUCUAAGCGUAGGAUUGUUCACCCAUCAAAAGGGAACGUCGCUGGGUUUAGACCGUCGUGAGACAGGUCAGUUUUAACCUACUGAUGAGUGCAUUGCGACAGUAGC